rnacentral:rRNA from 1 species
CCUACGGGAGGCAGCAGUGGGGAAUAUUGCACAAUGGGGGAAACCCUGAUGCAGCGACGUCGCGUGAGUGAUGAAGUAUUUCGGUAUGUAAAGCUCUAUCAGCAGGGAAGAAAAUGACGGUACCUGACUAAGAAGCCCCGGCUAACUACGUGCCAACAGCCGGGGUAACACGUAGGGGGCAAGCGUUAUCCGGAUUUGCGGGGUGUAAAGGGAGCGUAGACGGGGGUGCAAGCCAGCUGUGAAAGCCCGGGGCUCAACCCCGGGACUGCAGUUGAAACUGGGCUGCUAGAGUGGGGGAGAGGCAGGCGGAAUGCGUGGUGUAGCGGUGAAAUGCGUAGAUAUUAGGAGGAACACCAGUGGCGAAGGCGGCCUGCUGGACGAUGACUGACGUUGAGGCUCGAAAGCGUGGGGAGCGAACAGGAUUAGAUACCCUGGUAGUC